rnacentral:rRNA from 1 species
CCUACGGGAGGCAGCAGUGGGGAAUAUUGGACAAUGGGCGCAAGCCUGAUCCAGCCAUGCCGCGUGAGUGAUGAAGGCCUUAGGGUUGUAAAGCUCUUUUGCCAGGGAAGAUAAUGACUGUACCUGGAGAAUAAGCCCCGGCUAACUUCGUGCCAGCAGCCGCGGUAAUACGAAGGGGGCUAGCGUUGUUCGGAAUCACUGGGCGUAAAGCGCACGUAGGCGGACUUUUAAGUCAGGGGUGAAAGCCUGAGGCUCAACCUCAGAACUGCCCUUGAUACUGGGAGUCUUGAGUAUGGUAGAGGUUGGUGGAACAGCAAGUGUAGAGGUGAAAUUCGUAGAUAUUUGCUAGAACACCAGUGGCGAAGGCGGCCAACUGGACCAUAACUGACGCUGAGGUGCGAAAGCGUGGGGAGCAAACAGGAUUAGAUACCCUGGUAGUCCACGCCGUAAACGAUGGAUGCUAGCCGUUAGCCAGCUUGCUGGGUAGUGGCGCAGGUAACCCUUUAAGCAUCCCGCCUGGGGAGUACGGUCGCAAGAUUAAAACUUAAAUGAAUUGACGG